rnacentral:lncRNA from 1 species
CAAGGAGGACUGCCUGGAGGUGGUGGCCGCGGUGACUGCUCCAAACCCGUUCGGCCCUGUGCAGAAGUCUGAAGAACAGAGGUGCCCUCUGACGCGGCCCCAGGUCUGCUUUGGGGGAAACUAAGAUAAGCACUGUCCAUGAAAGGGGGACAAGGCAGUGAGCAGACACAGACAACUGCAAGGACCUCUUCCCACAGGUACCACUGACCUGUACAAAUGGGCCCUCAGCUUGAAGACUUAGCUAAUACUCUGAAUGCUCAGAAGAUAGGCAGGGCCAAGGUCUGGGCCUGAGGUAGGUGGGCCCCUGUCACACUAGUUUGCUCUUGCUUGACCCCAGAAUUGGUUAGAGGCAAGCUCAGGAUACUAAAAAUUGAUAGUUAUAAUGUGCCUUGGGUCCCAGAGUAGCCCAGGUCUCUCAGGCCCUACAGGAUGAGGCCAGAGUGACCCACUGGGAGGUCCCCUGGCCUCUGACUCUUCCAGCACAUUCUCUGCUCAGUAUCACUCCUUCCAGGAAUUCUCCCCACCCAGGUUUGUAGAAGGGCCAGUGCCUUCUGUUCCUCCACCCCCGCUAGCCUCAGUGUACACUGUAAGACCUAUUCCUGCUUUAUGCCCAGGUAAGGGCGCCCCAGGCUGCCCCCACACGACAGAGGCCCAGGCCAUGUCCCCAGUGGCCUCCAGGGGGCGCCGCCGGGAAGCCUGUAAUUGGGCUCCUGGGAGCUCCGCGGAGGUGG